rnacentral:siRNA from 1 species
GGUGGUGGAGGAUCCGGAUCUCA